AGCAGCCGCCGCGGGAAUACGAAGGGUGCAAGCGUUAAUCGGAAUUACUGGGCGUAAAGCGUGCGUAGGCGGUUUGUUAAGUCUGCUGUGAAAUCCCCGGGCUCAACCUGGGAAUGGCAGUGGAUACUGGCAAGCUAGAGUGUGUCAGAGGAUGGUGGAAUUCCCGGUGUAGCGGUGAAAUGCGUAGAGAUCGGGAGGAACAUCAGUGGCGAAGGCGGCCAUCUGGGACAACACUGACGCUGAGGCACGAAAGCGUGGGGAGCAAACAGGAUUAGAUACCCGAGUAGUCCCUGUCUCUUAUAC
rnacentral:rRNA from 1 species